UUUUUUUCAUGACUAUUUACGUUGUAGAUUAUCACUGAAGGCAUCAACACUAUGAAUGACCACGUGGAGUUAUGUACUUAACAAAAAAGUGUGAAAUAACUGAUAACAUGUCUUAUAUUUUAGAUUCCUUAAAGUAGCCACCUUUUGCUUUUUUGAUAGUGCUGCAAACCCUUGGUGUUCUCUCAAUGAGCUUCAUGA